GUGAUGACGAGUACCAAAGCCGACAUAUGACGUGCUCGCGACGGACUGA
rnacentral:snoRNA from 1 species